GCCUGCCACAAAAGUCCUACCCACCCGUUUUCUGAAUGGCCUUACAAAGAAUUUUGUUAAAGAAAAGUCAGACUAAUUGUUGCCAGAAGACCCGUCUCUUAGAGAAGUCUGGUUUUCAUAAACCAGAUUCUGUAAGGGUUGUGGUUGAAUCUAAGCCUAGUAGAAGGUUCUCAAGGUUUUCUCAGCAAAAGAGGGAAAUACAAAGAAACACUAAGUUCAGCCAAAAUGCUCAGUGGGGAGAGAGGAUGAAGAAGAUGGGGUGGGAGGGAAGUUCAAGAGGAUUCCCUGAACUUUUGUUUCUUUCUAGAUUCCUCUCCUUGGAAGAGCUUUCUCCAAACUAAGACCCAUUGAGACAGUUUUCCCAAGUAGCUCUAGCAUUGCGUGGUCACCGACCAGUGACUUGAUUCUCUUGAUGUGGCUGGGAGUUAUACUAGAGAGGACAGCAAGGGACUUUCCAGCCCCAAGAUUCUCUGAAGCAGCCCCCUGCUCUCUCAGCUCCAGGCUUGCUCUGGGGAGCCAAAGGUUCCUUCGGCAACAUGCAGCUUUUAUAGGCACAGUCCCAGGGAUGGUUAGAAGACCCCUGGAGUUCACCAUCAGAAUGGCCUUCCCCACUGCCACCUCGUUUCAGCCAACCCUGGAAGCUGGAGCCACCACUUUAUGUCUCAUGAUGCAAGAGAGGAAACCCACUCAAUUCCCAGCCUCCAAACUGCAUGGGGGAUUCCCAAGACCCUUUUGGCUUGCAGAAAUACCCUCCAAGGAUGAGUACAGCAGCCUUCUCCCCCAAAUCCUAUCACUUCCCUUCCCAACAGCCUGAACUUUUUAGGGGAGUUAAGGCAGGAACAUUUCCAGUCACCUAUUAAAACUGUGGUCACGGAGGUCUGACAACGUAAACUGGACCUUGACACCAACAGCAAAUCCGGCUCAUCCAGGAGACCUCAAGGGUUUCAUUUGACUCCAGAUGUGGAUCAGGGCUAGCGGGACCAGCGUUGACACGUCCCUAUGAGUGGGAAGAACACAUCCCUUUUCGAGCACUUCAUAGCCUGGGCUUGUGCAGAGUAAAGGGAAAGACCAGAGAGCCUCAUGGUGUAUCAUGCCCUGAAGCCCACUGCAUUUGAAGACCAUAAAAUAUGCAGCAAGUCCAUUUGUGUUGCCUUUCUCCUCCUUGAUCAUCAUGAAAUAAAUUGCUGCAAAAGGAAAAUACCUAAGUCCCU
rnacentral:lncRNA from 1 species